rnacentral:rRNA from 1 species
GACGAACGCUGGCGGCGUGCUUAACACAUGCAAGUCGAACGGAAAGGCCCUGCUUGCUGGGUACUCGAGUGGCGAACGGGUGAGUAACACGUGGGUGCUCUGCCCUGCACUUCGGGAUAAGCCUGGGAAACUGGGUCUAAUACCGGAUAGGAGCCAUUUUUAGUGUGAUGGUUGGAAAGUUUUUUCGGUGUAGGAUGAGCUCGCGGCCUAUCAGCUUGUUGGUGGGGUAAUGGCCUACCAAGGCGGCGACGGGUAGCCGGCCUGAGAGGGUGGACGGCCACAUUGGGACUGAGGUGCGGCCCAGACGCCGACGGGAGGCAGCAGUGGGGAAUAUUGCACAAUGGGCGCAAGCCUGAUGCAGCGACGCCGCGGGUGGGAUGACCGCCUUCGGGUUGUAAACUCCUUUCGCGAGGGACGAAGCUUUUUGUGACGGUACCUAGAGAAGAAGCACCGGCUAACUACGUG